CAGUCGCCACGGUAAUACGGAGGGUGCAAGCGUUAAUCGGAAUUACUAGGCGUAAAGCGCACGCAGGCGGUUUGUUAAGUCAGAUGUGAAAUCCCCGAGCUUAACUUGGGAACUGCAUUUGAAACUGGCAAGCUAGAGUCUUGUAGAGGGGGGUAGAAUUCCAGGUGUAGCGGUGAAAUGCGUAGAGAUCUGGAGGAAUACCGGUGGCGAAGGCGGCCCCCUGGACAAAGACUGACGCUCAGGUGCGAAAGCGUGGGGAGCAAACAGGAUUAGAUACCCCUGUAGUCCCUGUCUCUUAUAC
rnacentral:rRNA from 1 species